rnacentral:lncRNA from 1 species
CGGCAUGCCUGCAGCGUCCGUCGCUGCGAGGAAGCUGGCUGCACAGGCGGACCUGAAUGGCCACAGGAUUCUCGCCGACAAUUCUGGCGACUUGGUUGAUGAUGAUGAUAUCCGGGAGAUAAUUGAUCUGCUCGGUGACCCUACAGUCCCCGAUCCUAUACAAAGACUCAUUGAUGAUAUCUUGAGUUCGGGUGAGACUAGUGCAGGCUAUAUGGACAAUAUCACCGUCUUCACUGAUCAGGUGCCAGUGCCGGAGGUUGUUGCCUUCUGGAAUUUCAUUGAGAACAGUGGAUUGGACGUCUCUGUCCUCGUGGACGUCCUCAACAACUUCCUGGGCAUACCCAAUUGAGAGGAAUAUUUAAGGCAUUGUUUGGAUAAAUCAAUCUUAAUACACAUAGAUUGAGAUGGAGAAUAAACACUACCACAUAAUGAGUUAUCCCAGAGGGCACUAUCACCAACGAUUUUAGGUAAACCGACUGUAAUAUGUAUCAUCGCCAGUUCUAAAAUAAAUGGGGUUGUGGGAUGUUAGAACUGGCAGUGAAGCCAUCACCGCCGGUUCCAAUCAUAAACCGGCGGUGAAAGUCAACACCGUCGGCUCUUAUAAAAAUCCAUCGGUGAAACGGUCCGAUCGGAUCGAAAUCUUUUUCAAAUCCAGUUAAGCGUGCUUGACGUCCGCACUCUCCCCUCCCCCUCCGCCACUUCUCCCUUUCUCUCCCCCAGUCCCACUUCUCUCCUCCCUCUCUCCUUAUCCUGCAAGCCCCCUCACUCCCUCCACCACCGAACCCCUCCCCCCUCCCCGUCCAUUGAGCCCCUCCUUCCCUCCCUCCCUCCCCAGCCUCCCCUCUCCUCCCCCCUUCGCUCGCCCCUCACCUCGUGCCUAAGGUGAGAAGCGGCGGCGGGGCGAGGCGUGGCGGGGCGGCCAUCGGGGCACGGAGCGGCAACGGCUAGCGAGCUCGGCGUGACAGGAUGUAGCAGUGCGGACGAAGCGGCAGCGGCGGCAAGAUCCGGGGGUGACGGCGGCGGCGAAAUCCGGUGCACUUCCCCCUCUCCCUCUCCCCCUUCCUCCCUCCCCCCCUCUCUCCCCUCUCCCUUUCCCUCCCUCCCUCCCUCUCCCAUACCCCUGCCGGACCUACCCCUCUCCCGGCCGCAUCCUGGCGGCUGCGCCCGGCCGCCCCUCUCCCACGACCCACCGGCCACCCAUUCUUCGGCGGUCCGGUGAGGAGGAGCGGCGGCCGGCUAGGAAGAACGGGUGGCCGGCAGGUCGCGAGGAGGGGCGACCGGGCGCAGCCGGCGGGAUGCGGGGCUGAGCGCGGAUUUUUUUUUAUUUUUUAAUACGGCUUCACCGUCGGUUCCAGAACUGGCAGUGAUUCUAAUCACUGUCGAAAGUCAAAUAAUUGAUCUGCUCGGUGACCCUACAGUCCCCGAUCCUAUCCAAAGACUCAUUGAUGAUAUCUUGAGUUCGGGUGAGACUAGUGCAGGCUAUAUGGACAAUAUCACCGUCUUCACUGAUCAGAUGCAAUUGCCGGAGAUUUCUGGCCUCCAGAUUUUUUCCAUGGAGGACAAUGGAUUGAACGAAUUCGUGGACGUCCUCAACAACUUCCUGGGCAUACCCAAUUGAGAGGAAUAUUUAAGGCAUUGUUUGGAUAAAUCAAUCUUAAUACACAUAGAUUGAGAUGGAGAAUAAACACUACCACAUAAUGAGUUAUCCCAGAUGGCACUAUCACCAACGAUUUUAGGUAAACCGACUGUAAUAUGUAUCAUCGCCGGUUCUAAAAUAAAUGGGGUUGUGGGAUGUUAGAACUGGCAGUGAAGCCAUCACCGCCGGUUCCAAUCAUAAACCGGCGGUGAAAGUCAACACCGUCGGCUCUUAUAAAAAUCCGUCGGUGAAACGGUCCGAUCAGAUCGAAAUCUUUUUCAAAUCCAGUUAAGCGUGCUUGACGUCCGCGCUCUCCCCUCCCCCUCCGCCACUUCUCCCUUUCUCUCCCCCAGUCCCACUUCUCUCCUCCCUCUCUCCUUAUCCUGCAAGCCCCCUCACUCCCUCCACCACCGAACCCCUCCCCCCUCCCCGUCCAUUGGGCCCCUCCUUCCCUCCCUCCCUCCCCAUCCUCCCCUCUCCCCCCCCUUCGCUCGCCCCUCACCUCAUGCCUGAGGUGAGAAGCGGCGGCGGGGCGAGGCGUGGCGGGCCGACCAUCGGGGCACGGAGCGGCAACGGCUAGCGGGCUCGGCGUGACAGGAUGUAGCAGUGCGGACGAAGCGGCAGCGGCGGCAAGAUCCGAGGGUGACGGUGGUGGUGAAAUCCGGUGCACUUCCCCUCUCCCUCUCCCUCUCCCCCUCCCUCCCUCCCCCCCUCUCUCCCCUCUCCCUUUCCCUCCCUCCCUCCCUCUCCCCUACCCCUGCCGGACCUACCCCUCUCCCGGCCGCAUCCUGGCGGCUGCGCCCGGCCGCCCCUCUCCCACGACCCACCGGCCACCCGUUCUUCGGCGGUCCGGUGAGGAGGAGCGGCGGCUGGCUAGGAAGAACGGGUGGCCGGCAGGUCGCGAGGAGGGGCGACCGGGCGCAGCCGGCGGGAUGCGGGGCUGAGCGUGGAUUUUUUUUAUUUUUUAAUACGGCUUCACCGUCGAUUUCAGAACUGGCAGUGAUUCUAAUCACUGUCGAAAGUCAAAUGAUGGACCAAAAAACAGCGGUGCAGGCUGGUUUGGAGCCGGCGGUGAUGUACCUUUGUGGAGCAGUGAAACUGAUUUCUCUAACAAUCCCUCAUAAUACGUGUGGAUUGGAGGGUACGCAAAAGAAGUCUAAUAUAUAAUGUUAAUCCCAUUAUACAGAGGAUCCAUGUUUCCGUUCCUGUUGUUUGUUUCUAGGAAAAAAUCAUUUUACUUCCUCCACCUAUUUACUUUGUCAACCCCACCCCCUAACCUAUAUGUUGGCUCAAUUUAAUCCCUUCACCUAUUAAUUCCGAAUCAAAUUACCCCCUAAGCAAUAUUUCCAUCAUAAUUUGCCUACGUGGCAUUGUUAUGACCGAGUCAAUUCACGUUUGAGGCCAACUAAGCAGUCUGAUGUGGACUGCGAUAGCUGAGUCACAAAAUCGAGCCGAUCUAUAAGCCGUGCCCUAAGCUAUAUCCAUAUGGACGACCGUGACGCCCUUCCCAGAAGCGCAGCCCUGCCACACGAGCGCGUGGAGGUCACCGUCCAUGGCCUCCACCUCUUCCUUUGAUAUACUCUGGAACGAAGCCGUCGAAAGGGGCACGAACUGACGAUCCUUGAGCCGCUCGUGCCGUUGCUGAAGCUAGCCUGCUUUGCUCACCCUAUCCAUCACUGCCUUCACCACCACCUCUGCGGCGGCGGUGCUCUCGCCGACGACAACCACACAUCGCUUGCUCCCGCUCGCCAUGUAGUCCAGCACGUGCAUGGCGCCAUCAGCGGCGUUGGCUGCGUUGGGGCGCCUCACAUGGUUGGAACCUAGUGGAGAGCUCGUCACCACGUGGCUAGGCAUCUUUUUUGGAUGAUGUUCCGGUGACGAGACAACCUUCGAGACAUUUGACUUGACUUGGGAGCGAGAGAAGCUGGUCUCACACAUGACGUGGCUGACGCUGGGGUCGUUUGAGGAUGGAAAUGAUGAGUUUCUCAAUCUCGACCUUGGCAGCGGCGGCGAGCUCUGGUUGCGACUGCAGCAGCGGCUGACCUCCUUUGAGGGCGCCCCGGCACUAGGGCGCCUGCGCGCUUGAACGUGGCGACGAGAGCGUUGGACAGCACGGGCACUAUCUAAAACAUGCGGUGGCAUUUUACCUGUGCAAACUAAACCGAUGAAACAAAACAUCAGCAGCGUUUUGGUUAGUGGCCCUGGAAGAUCGGUUUCAGGCUCUAGGGUGAUGGACUUUGCAGCUUGGCGUCCGCUCAGUUGGGCGUGGACGGAUAUGCGUCAAUGCGUAUUUCGUUUGGAGACAUGCAGCUCGGCUCGUUCUUUUAGCUCGAUGGCCUCGCACUUGUCCACGUCAGUCUGCUUUGUGAGUCUCAAACGUGAAUUGAUUCGGUCAAAACCAUGCCAGGUAAGCAAAUUAUGAUGGAAAUCCUUCUUAGGGGGUAAUUUGACCCAAUAUUAAUAGGUGAAGGGAUUAAAUUGAGCCAAUAUAUAGCUUAGGGGGUGGGUGGACAAAGUAAAUAGGUGGAGAGUAAGAUAGACUUUUUCCCAUGUUUCUAUCGGUCAUUAAUCCAUUAAUGUGUAAUCAUACCCCAAUCCCAUACACACCGUACCUGAUACCACUCCACCGCCUUAACUAGCUAGAAAAGUAUGCGGCACUCAUACAACAAAUAUAACAAAAAAAGUAGGAAAUGAUACGUUGCCAUGCCUAGCUCGGAUGCUAGCGGCAUUGCUCUGGAUUAAACCGCAGCCGUUCCCACACCACCCCAUUAUGGCAACAUGAGAGCUCCUCCGCGUGUAACUGCGGCAGCACUUUUCUCUCAGUUCUUAACUUUCUCCUCAAUUUGGUUUAAAUCCAAUGCUAUGGCAUGAGGAAGGGGACGAUGAAAACAUCUGCACCAACGGAAAGGUUGUCUUCAUCUGCGAUAGAGCUUUCCUGAAGUCAAAACCAAUACAAGUCGGUAUGUAUACUAUAAAAAUUACCAGAAACAUAAAUCUAGGAAACAAAACAAAUCAAGGACCAUUUAACAAAAGUAAAACAAAAACAAGAAGAUGGGGAGAAAAUGUAAACAACAACCAUGAGCCUCGGAAGGGACAUGGUCUAUUCUCCAAACUCUUGCCACACAACAGGGCGUAGCCAGCGUGAUGCAUGGGUAUUCCUAGGAAUACCCAAAAAUCAACUAUAUAUCAUAUAUAUACAACGUAUACAGGUUAUAAAAGUGACCGUUGGCCUAGCAUUCAGGCAUCAACACUGCCCUAGCCAUCGGAAUUGAGUUGCUCCUGCUUGUCGUUCGUUCCUCAGCCUCCAAAUUGAAAUCGGACCUAGGCUUUUCUAUAUACAUAGAUUUUGCUAUAUAUCUAGGUAUAAUUUUAUAUCUACGUGUGUAUAAUAAAAUCUAUAUAUAUCUAGAAAAUAUCAAAACGAAUAUUUUGGAACAGAGGUAGUAGCCUUUUACCACAUGUCAGUUCAAAUGUCAUGAUUUUCGCAAAUCAUCAGUCAGAGGUGCUGCUAGCGCCUGGGUUGUGGAGAGCACAAAAAAACAUUUUAUUUGGUUAGCGAAGGAGGGGUGGUGAGAGGCUGAGAGCGGACUCAACAAUGGAGGCAUUGCCGGAGUAUAUCUAGAGGGUUGUAGUUUUGCUGCCGGUUCUCUCUCCGCUACGGUGCGGUAUAUGCCAUCCAAUAACCUUUGCGAAAUUGCCACCUAAUAUAAACCCUAGCAAUUCAAGUGUUUUCUGUACUGAUAAAUUUUUUUAGAAAAAGGAAUUGUCUCCGACCUCUACAACCACACACAGUCAUGUUUUUACAAAAUCGUUUCUGCACUAACAAGUGGAGCCAGUGAAUCUACAGCACCACAAGCAAUUACGUGCCCAUUGCCCUCUGGACUCUAGUACAUGUCAGUGCAAUAUGUUUAGCUUUAUAAUUUUAGUUUUUCCCUCGAAAACGUGGCUGAGCUUUGUUAUUCUAGUAUAGACCCUUGUCAUCAAGGAUGAUCGUCAAUGUCGUCACUCUCACCAAAGUCCAUCCCAACACUAAAACAAGUUGGCGACAAAUACUAUGCAAAUUGCCUAGAAACCUAAAUCCUAUCCAGGAAACAAAAACAAAUCAAAUAACGUUAAAUAAAGAACUAAAAGGAAAACGAAAAGAAGUAGAUAAAAUGUUUUUUUUAAAAAAAAUUAUACGGGCUCGCUCAGGCCCAUGCGUGACACGAGUCCAACCGUGUGGUCAUUCUCAUAAACACCAAGUCCUCCUGCUUUUGUCUACCGAAUUUAUUCUAACAGAGCACUAGAAAGCAAGUGAAAUUGUGUGUGCCAUGCUUUAUCUGUGCACGUGUAAAGCAUUUCGGUGUGAUUUCCUUUUUUUGUACGUGUGGUUUUCUAUGUGUACCGAAUUUAUUUUGUGUGGUUUUUCUAACCUCCUUUUCCAUGGCGUGCUGAUUUUUCUUUUCAGAAAUGUGCGGCCACCAUUUUAUAUGGUACAACGUGUACAACACUGCGGAGCUGAAAAUAAAAAGGUCAUCUUGGAAUCCUGCAAUGUGCAAAAGUCAGAGGUGCCACCUCUCUCGACACACCCAAACUUGUUUCUCCCAUAUAGCCAUAUAUCGAUACUUUUUCUUCUUAUUUUAUCCUUUUUCCCUUCCUGUGCGGAAAUGUACACUACGAGUACAUCUAUAAUUGUACAUCCAAUAUAUGGAUAUUUUUCCUUGCAAAAAAUUAGAUAUCUUGACCUCAAGAAACAAAAAAAUACACACGUGACAUACGUACUGCCAUUACUGUUUUGUAUAUUUAUGUAGACGCAUGUGACACACCACAUUUAAAAUAUGUACGAUUGUACACUCACCGGCUCCACAUAAUUUUUUUAUAGAAAUUUUAGAACAAAACAUGUUGGUUAAAACAUAUAUUCUUUGAAAUAUAGUCUCUUAGGUAUCAGGCCUUUUUGUGGAGAGGGAAGUUGUUCAUUUCAAAUUGUUCAAAUUUACAUCUACAAUGUGGAGGUUGAAGAGUAAACAUGACCCUCCACCUCAAGAGAAAUAAACAUGUUCAGACCAAACCUAUAUCUUCCUUUGGGAGGCCUGCACAAUAACCAGUUAGUACGUCAUUGUAAUAUGGGUUGUAAGGGCUCUUGGCUACAUAGCCAAUGCACUCAUUACUUCAUUAGCGUGCGACUUGAAGUUGUGGAUCAUACAAGGCACGUUAGCAUUUAAAUUUUACUCUUACUUGGAUCAGACUGUCAAACAAAGAACCUUAUCAGUAGGACAAAAUAGGUUGAUUCAUGUGAGACUAAUCAAGCAAGAGUAUGAGCAUUGUAUUUUUUAGGGAUCAUAUAUAAUUUUAGAGUCUCGGGAAGUCAAAACCUGGACCAGAGGUUCGGGAUUCUCCAGGGAAAGCAAUUCAAAUUAGUAGUUUGUUUAGUUUUAUAAAAUUUUGAGAUCUGUUUUUAAUUUGCACAUCCUUUAUUAACAAAAACUAGAGCAUUAGAGGUUGAGCUGGCCACUAUGUAAGACGUCUUAAAAGGAGACGCGAGUUAACUCACACAGGAGACGUUUUUUUCGCGUCUCCAAAUUUUCGUCUCUGAUGUAAAGUCAUACAAGAUGCGAAAAAUCCGCAUCUCCGAUGUAGAGGGUCAUUGGAGAUGCGUUUUGACGGGACAAACAUAUUGUAGAUGCGUUUAGUUUAUCCGCGUCUCCGAUUCAACAUUGGAGACGUGUUUUAAUUCCACGUCUCUAAUAAGGAUGUCUUCUUUGUGAUAUUGUUACAUAGUGGGCAUUGGGGGUAUCAAGAAGUCAAAACUAGACCAUGUGUAUUGAUAGUUGUGAUCGAUUCUGGCUGACUUUUGAAAUCCUAGCCUACCAAACUUUGCUAAUCAUGCUUAAAUGGUUGCUUGUUUGUCAACUUGGUUGCCCAUGUGAAUGGGUAACGAAAAGGGAGUGCUAUGAGUUUUGCACCUGCUUACCUUUAAUUGGUCUAUAAAUUGUCACCGAGAGAGACCAUGCAUGGGUGCACCAGACCACUAGGCACUGGCACUCACAUACAUUCUCCAGCUGCAUACUUCACACUGUACUCAGCGCGUGCCAUGGCAACCUGCAGGAGCCUUCUCAUGGUCCCGGUCACUCUCUGCUUCUUCCUCCUCGUGCUCCCAGCGCAGAGCAAGGAGAACCUUGCCGUCGUCAUCUUCUACGGCACAGCCCGAUGCAAGAGCAACCCCUCCAAGAUCAUCAGCAGUAAGCGAUCUUAUAUUAACUGAUAUACUCGAUCAUGGACCCAAACUUCAGCUAUCAUACGCUAUAGUAUAUCAUAUGUAUAAUCCACUCCUGCAUGCAGAUGCAACCCUGCAUGUGACCAUCAAUGGCACCACCCUCGCCACCGGCAAAACGACGAGCAUGGGCCGGUUCUUGAUGGCGGCGAGGGUGACCUCAAAAGAUCAGCUCAGCUCCCUGGUGAGCAAAAAGGCGGUCAUCACCGCUCCUCGACAGGCGUGCGGCAUGCCUGCAGCGUCCGUCGCUGCGAGGAAGCUGGCUGCACAGGCGGACCUGAAUGGCCACAGGAUUCUCGCCGACAAUUCUGGCGACUUGGUUGAUGAUGAUGAUAUCCGGGAGAUAAUUGAUCUGCUCGGUGACCCUACAGUCCCCGAUCCUAUACAAAGACUCAUUGAUGAUAUCUUGAGUUCGGGUGAGACUAGUGCAGGCUAUAUGGACAAUAUCACCGUCUUCACUGAUCAGGUGCCAGUGCCGGAGGUUGUUGCCUUCUGGAAUUUCAUUGAGAACAGUGGAUUGGACGUCUCUGUCCUCGUGGACGUCCUCAACAACUUCCUGGGCAUACCCAAUUGAGAGGAAUAUUUAAGGCAUUGUUUGGAUAAAUCAAUCUUAAUACACAUAGAUUGAGAUGGAGAAUAAACACUACCACAUAAUGAGUUAUCCCAGAGGGCACUAUCACCAACGAUUUUAGGUAAACCGACUGUAAUAUGUAUCAUCGCCAGUUCUAAAAUAAAUGGGGUUGUGGGAUGUUAGAACUGGCAGUGAAGCCAUCACCGCCGGUUCCAAUCAUAAACCGGCGGUGAAAGUCAACACCGUCGGCUCUUAUAAAAAUCCAUCGGUGAAACGGUCCGAUCGGAUCGAAAUCUUUUUCAAAUCCAGUUAAGCGUGCUUGACGUCCGCACUCUCCCCUCCCCCUCCGCCACUUCUCCCUUUCUCUCCCCCAGUCCCACUUCUCUCCUCCCUCUCUCCUUAUCCUGCAAGCCCCCUCACUCCCUCCACCACCGAACCCCUCCCCCCUCCCCGUCCAUUGAGCCCCUCCUUCCCUCCCUCCCUCCCCAGCCUCCCCUCUCCUCCCCCCUUCGCUCGCCCCUCACCUCGUGCCUAAGGUGAGAAGCGGCGGCGGGGCGAGGCGUGGCGGGGCGGCCAUCGGGGCACGGAGCGGCAACGGCUAGCGAGCUCGGCGUGACAGGAUGUAGCAGUGCGGACGAAGCGGCAGCGGCGGCAAGAUCCGGGGGUGACGGCGGCGGCGAAAUCCGGUGCACUUCCCCCUCUCCCUCUCCCCCUCCCUCCCUCCCCCCCUCUCUCCCCUCUCCCUUUCCCUCCCUCCCUCCCUCUCCCGUACCCCUGCCGGACCUACCCCUCUCCCGGCCGCAUCCUGGCGGCUGCGCCCGGCCGCCCCUCUCCCACGACCCACCGGCCACCCGUUCUUCGGCGGUCCGGUGAGGAGGAGCGGCGGCCGGCUAGGAAGAACGGGUGGCCGGCAGGUCGCGAGGAGGGGCGACCGGGCGCAGCCGGCGGGAUGCGGGGCUGAGCGCGGAUUUUUUUUAUUUUUUAAUACGGCUUCACCGUCGGUUCCAGAACUGGCAGUGAUUCUAAUCUCUGCGGCGGUGGCGCUCUCACCGACGACAACCACGCACCGCUUGCUCCCACUCGCCAUGUAGUCCAGCACGCACAUGGCGCCAUCAGCGGCGUUGGCUGCGUUGGGGCGCCUCGCAUAGCCAGAACCUAGUGGAGAGCUCGUCACCACGUGGCUAGGCAUCUCUUUUGGAUGAUGUUCCGACGACGAGACGGCCUUCUGGAUGUUUGGCUUGACUUGGGAGCUAGAGAAGCUGGUCUCGCGCAUGACAUGGCUGACGCUGGGGUCAUCUGAGGAUGGAAAUGAUGAAUUGCUCGAUCUCGACCCUUGCAGCGGUGGCGAGCUCCGGCUGCGACUGUGGCAGCAGCUGGCCGCCUUUGAGGGCACCCCGACACUAGUGCGCCUGCACGCUUGGACGUGGCGACGAGAGCGUUGGGCAGCACAGGCACUGUCUAAAACAUGCGGUGGCAUUUUAUUUGUGCAAACUGAACUGAUGAAACAAAACAUCAGCAACGUUUUCGUUAGUAGCCCUGGAAGAUCGGUUUCAGGCUCUAGGGUGAUGAACUUUGCAGCUUGGCGUGCGCUCAGUUGGGCGCGGACGGACAGGCGUACAUGCGUAUUUCAUUUGGAGACAUGCAGCUCGGCUCGUUCUUUUAGCUCGAUGGCCUCGCACUUGUCCACAUCAGACUGCUUUGUUGGUCUCAAACGUGAAUUGACUCGGUCAAAACCAUGUCACAUAAGCAAAUUAUGAUGGAAAUCCUUCUUAGGGGUAAUUUGACCCAAUAUUAAUAGGUGAAGGGAUUAAAUUGAGCCAAUAUAUAGGUUAAGGAGGUGGGGUGGACAAAGUAAAUAGGUGGAGGGAGUAAAAUGGACUUUUCCCAUGUUUCUAUCAGUCAUUCAUCCAUAUGUAAUCAUACCCCAAUUCCAUACACACCGUACCUGAUACCACUCCACCGCCUUAACUAGCUAGAAAAGUAUGCGGCACUCAUACAACAAAUAUAACAAAAAAAGAAGAAGAAGGAAAUGAUACGUUGCCAUGGCUAGCUCGGAUGCUAGCGGCAUUGCUCUGGAUUAAACCGCUGCCGUUCCCACACCACCCCAUCAUGGCAACAUGAGAGCUCCUCCGCGUGUAACUGCGGCAGCACUUUUCUCUCAGUUCUUAACUUUCUCCUCAAUUUUGUUUAAAUCCAAUGCUAUGGCAUGAGGAAGGGGAUGAUGAAAAUAUCUGCACCAACGGAAAGGUUGUCUUCAUCUGCGAUAGAGCUUUCCUGAUGUCAAAACCAAUACAAGUCGGUAUGAAUACUAUGAAAAUUACCAGAAACAUAAAUAUAGGAAACAAAACAAAUCAAGGACCAUUUAACAAAAGUAAAACAAAAACAAGAAGAUGGGGACAAAAAUGUAAACAACAACCAUGAGCCUCGGAAGGGACAUGAUCUGCUCUCCAAACUCAUGCCACACAACAGGUUAUAAAAGUGACCGUUGGCCUAGCAUCAGGCAUCAACACCGCCCUAGCCAUCGGAAUUGAGUUGCUCCUGCUUGUCGUUCGUUCCUCAGCCUCCAAAUCGAAAUCGGACCUAGGCCAGGGCGACCAAUGGGCAGCGGGAGACGGCAGCGGCCCGUGCUCCGAGAUCGUACCGUUCUACUGUUGUACGCGUCGUCGACGGCUCGUCCGUGAUCGAGUGCGGCGGCGUGCGCUGCUCCUUCCCGCGUCAAAUUUGCCGUAGCUCUCGCUUCUUCCUCUCCAAAAUCUCCCGUCACCGGUGUUCAAUCUCUCCACAAAAGAGCAAGGACGUCGUCAUCCAUCUCCUUCCAUGGCCAGUCCUCAUCCAUAGGUAAACUCAUAUCGAAAUACCCCACGCUCCUCUCCACAAGCCAUCCCAGUUCUCUCCUCUUCCCGAACUUCUCCGAACCCCCAAAGCUCCCGUUCAUGGCAGCCAUGGCCACCCAUCUCCACUUCCUUCCUCACCUCCUGGACCAAGCAAAAUGGAUUCCACUCCUAUAGAUACUUUGUAUUCUCGAACAAGCAACAAAAUAACAUAUAAAGAUCAAUUUAUACUUGAUUGACAUAAUCUAUAGAUACAUGCAUGAACUAAAUAAACAACCUAAUAGACAGACCACUAUAUGCUUGGUCUGUUUUGCCGUGUAUACGUGACAUGGUAUGUGUUUGCAAACAAGAGCUAUCUAAAUUGUUGAACAUGUUCUUUGCCUUCAAAUUUUAUCUCACAAAGAGUGUUCAUUUAGCUUCUAGUGAGACUCAUCUAAUUAAAACAACACUCACAGUCACAGCAAUGAAAAAAUGUAUUGAGAUGUGCAUAGAGCCAAUGAAAUGAUCAAUUGAUGUUUUUUCUCUAGUUACAAUCCAUGUGCAUUUAUUCAGGAUCAAAAAACUAAACAGACCGCAUAGUUUUCAACAACAACUAAUAUAAAUAAUUAGAGGUGGCAUGGUCGCUUCUCACAACUGCUACUGUACUCCCUCCGUAUAGGAAAAGGAAGUUGUUUUGGACAAGGUUUUGGUCAAACAUUGGGAAUAUAAAUCAUGAAUAACUUUUAAGUUGUUGAGUUUGGAAAUGUGAAAGCCAUAUAAAUAGAUUUGUCUUGAAAAAUACUUUCAUAAAAAUAUACAUAUUUCACUUUUGGAUAAAUAUUUUUAUAAAAAUAAGGAGUCAAAGUAAUGCUUUGAAGACCGUGUUGCUGUCCAAAACGACUUCCUUUUCCUAUACGGAGGGAGUAUCCAAAAUUUUCUAAAAGAAUAUUUAUUUGGGGACGGAGGGAGUAUAUGCUAAAUAUACACACAUGUAUCUUUUAUAUUGGGUCAAGAUCGCUAGUUUUCGAGUUAUAAUUCGCCGCAACACUCUGAUGCAGAGCAGUGCCCUUCUGGGACUUCCCAUGCCUCCCCAGUCCCCACUCAAUCCCAGGAUAGGCUGUUGGCCAAAGCUGAUGGCCCACGAGAGGCCACAUGCCACAUCUCCCAUCCGGCCAAUACGCCAUCACGCGCUAGCGCUACAGGAGCACGGAUGCUGUGCUACCGGCUGCGGCGGCCGAAGCGAGCGGGGGCAUGCCAGUGCGGUGAUGACAAGGCAGAGCUGGGCGGCCAGCGGGUGCUCCCCCUCCCUGAACUUAUUUUUUUUAACACGGGAAUACCAAACUUCUAAAUCCUGGCUCCACCAUGUCUUAGCGAUUUAGAAUUUCUGUAUUGAACUUAUAUUUUUUGCACAUAAUUAAAUUAUAUUGUUGGUUGGGAGAGUCAAGUGAAUUUGUUUGUGACGUGCUUCAUCUGUGCACGUGUAAAGCCUUUUGGUGUGAAUUUCUUUUUUGUAUGUGUGGUUUUCUAUGUCUACCUAAUUUAUUUGUAUGUGGUUUCUCUAACCUCCUUUUUUCAUGGCGUGCUGCUAUUUCUUUUCAGAAAUGUGUGGCCACCAUUUUGUAUGGUACAACGUGUACAACGUGUGGCUCCUUGGAGCUGAAAAAUAAAAAGGUCAUCUUGGAACCUUGCAAUGUGCAAAAGUCAGAGGUGCCACCUCUGUCAACGCACCCGAACUUGUUUGUCCCAAAUACCGAUACUUUUUUCUUCCUGUGAGAAAAUGGACAGAACGAGUACAUCUAUAAUUGUACAUCCAAUAUACGGAUAUUUUUCCACGCAAAAAAUUGGAUAUCAUGACCUCAAUAAACAAGAAAUACAUGUGGCAUACGUACUAUUGUUAUAUAUAUAUUUACGUAGAUGCCUGUGACACGCCACAUUUUAAAUAUUUACAUUAUAUGGUCAGCGAUCACCGACCCCAUGGAUUUUUUUAUAGAGAUUUUAGGAACAAAACACGUUGCUUAAAACAUAUAAUUUUUUAAAAUACAGAUAUCAUGCCUUUUGUUGGAGAGUGAAUUAAGUUCUUCAUUUCAAAUUUGUUCAAAUUUACAUCUACAAUGUGAGGUUGAAGAGUAAACAUGGCCCUCCACCUCAAGAGAAAUUCACAUGUUCAUAUCAUGACCGAACCUAUAUCUGCCUUUGGGAGGCCUGCAAUUGCAUUUUAGUUCAGUGGUAGUGACCAAUUAGUACGUCAUUAUAAUAUGGGCAGUGAGGGCUCUUAGCUACAUAGAUGGCCGAUGUAGUAUGUACUCAUUAGGACUAAUCAAGCAAGAGUAGUAUGAAUCAGCAUUGCAUUUUUUUAGGGACCAUAAUUUUAGAUCCACCCAUCUAAACUGGUUCAUACGACUCUUCCUCUCCAAUCUCUCUCAAAUUUUUGGCCUCCUUCCUUCCUCCUCCCUCCCCUCUGGCCUUCCACUUCCCAAGCUUCCUCCCCCUUCCUCCUGUUCCUGCGAUGGCGAGGGCCGCGUGGUGGCCGGAGCGGGGGCGAGCAGCGGCCAGCGCGGGGGCGAGCGGCUGCCCUCGGCGAGCCGCUGGAUGUCGGCCUUGGGUAGCCGCACCCAUAGCCGCACAUACGGCGACGGCCUCCACGUACGACGAUGAUGCGGGGGAUGACGAUGAUGCCGCCAGGGCCGCCGCCACAUCCGAGGCCGACCGCCACGCUAGCAUCAGGCUCUCCGGCCACGCCCCGACGCCACCAGCGCUGUAGGUGAGCACGUCGGACCACGUCCGCCGGGGCACGUCCCGCCGCCUAGCGGAGGAGGACGCGGCCAUCCUGGGCAGCUCGACGAGGAAGUCGAGAUUCCAGGGCUUGAGCGGUGCGUCCGGGUCCAGCGGGCGUGCGCGGACGUUGAGGCGGCGCACCUCGUCGGACUCGAGGAGGUGGUGACCCGGGUGGCCCCGUGGCGCGUCGGCCCAGUAGGGGUAUCUUGGUCUUUCGUUGGUUUAGCUGGGUUCAACUAGCUAAGGGUAAGUACAUUGGUGUCGUUUGGUCUCAAGCAUUAAUACGUAAUCCUGAGACGACUCAACAGGCAACCCAUACAAUGGGUUGUCUUAUAAGUUGUCUGGUGGAGCUAUAUAAUUCUUUAAUUUGUGCAUAUGGAAAAAGAAAAUAUUAUGAGUUGCAUGGCAAUAAUAACUCAUACAUUGAUUGUUGAGUUGUCUAGUAGUACUACAAUUUAGCUCAUGAGGCGGUUGUUUCACGAAAUAAUAACCUCUUUCUCUACUCGCUCUCUCUCUUCCACAUCAUCAAAAGUCCUAUGUGGCACUGCAUGAGACGACUUAUAAGACCGCUGAUGUGUAAAAAUGUACUGACAGUAGACCCAUGACUCGGGAGGGGUAAAAUGGUCAGCUCAUGGAUGGAACCACAGAUGGAAUGGUACUAAGAGGAUAAAUCUAAAUUUCAAUGGCACUGAAGGAAUUUCGAACAAAUCUAUGUGUUGGCACUAGAAAUCGGCUGAUCGAAUUCCCAACGUCGGACACACGACCCGGGAGAAUCUGCUUAGCUCCUAUUCGGGUGAUCGCCCUGGUGCGGUUCGCGCAGCGUGCUAGCCAAUCUGACCUGUUGAUUGGCAAGGAAAGAAACGUGUCAGAUCCCAGAGGUUGCGAUCGGCUAAGGUUCCGAUCUCGAGAAAGCUUAUCAGCGAAUCGGCCGAUUUGCCGUAAUAAAGGAAUCGGCUAAGAAGCAGCCGAUUACCGGGCAACGUUAAUAAAGAAAACUGCUGGAGUAAUCUAAGCAGCGCUACAGUAACAACACUAGGAACGGAUCUAAUCGGCUAUGCGUAAAAUGAAUAGAUUAAACAACGAAGUAUAAGAAAAGCCGAAAUUACCGAUUCCUAGCUGGAUAACUAGUGAUAAAACCAGAACAACAAGUAAAACCUAGAAUUCUAGUAAAUAUCGAUAACUGAUGAAUAAAUCCAAACGAAACGACAGCGAUGCGCCCGAAGUUAAAGUUUAGAAAUUACUCGAUAAACGGAACUUACAAGAUCAGCCAGAGGUCAAGUUGAUGCAGCCCCGCCAACCCGUACGAACUCGUGAAAAAGAAGAAAAGUGUUGGCAAAGUCGCCCGCUUGAAAGUAAGUAUGAGAAAAUAGUAGUUUGUUGUAUUGAGUUGAUGAUGAUUACAGAUCUACAAGGGUGGCUAUUUAUAGCCUGUUACAAACGACUUCUUAUCCGACUAGAACUCUAUCCCUAAAUUUAAACAGAAAACGAAUAUUUACAAGUACGAUUCGUACUAGGUCGAUCAUCACGCGCUUCAUGGGCUGAUUCCCUCUUCAUCUUCAUAAUCCUUUUUAGGCCCACCGGCCUAACUAUCCCAGCCUCCUAAUCGGCCGAUCAUCUCAUUGGCAAGGGACAACCGAUUAGGACCCACACGUCGGGGACUCAGACUACUCCGACCCUGGAAACUAAGGUCGGGCGAGGCGGGUAUCCUCCCUUGGAGGAUCGGGCGCGUCCGAUCCCAAACCCUAGGGGUCGGGCGAGGCGGAACUCCAAGGGUCAAUCGGCCAAUCCUCGACUGUAGCACCAAUCAACCGAUCCUUGACUGUAGCACCAAUCGGCCGAUUUCCAAUCGUCGCCCUUGUAUCUCGCCGUAUCCUCUAAUUUCUUCCUCUCCUAACGCUGAUUUUACUCGUGUCAAAAUCUGGCGUCAACACUAUGGUAACGAGGGAACUCAGUAUUUCUAUGUAUUUUUAUGUCAUCGAGGGAAUUGAUUCUAUAAAGUUGAUAUCCUAGCUCUGACGCUUUCGAUAAGGAAAAGUGAUUAUUAGAAUUUUUAUAGAGAUAUGCAAGGAAUAUGGAAGCUGACUUUUGUAUGUUUAUUACUUCCAUCAUAAAUAUUUCCCUUUUCUGUUUCACAGGAAAGAUGCUAAGGGACCGUUUGGAUCCGGUUGGGAUUCUAUAAUCCAAGAAAAAAAAUCAAAAUCCAAACCAAAGAGGUUGGAUUCUACUGCAGGAUUCUAGAAUCCCUACCCAUAAUCCACAAUCCCCACUUGCUUAGCUUAUGGGGGAUUCUAGGAUGAGAAAUUACAAUUUUACCCCGCUCCAAAUAUUUGCCUGUUUAAGAAAAAAGGGAGGCAAGGGCAUUAUAGAUAUUUCGUUUUUACAACCAACCUAAUAUCCGGAUUAGAAUCUAGAGAUCUGAAUAGGGUAGAUUAUUACAAUAUACUAUCUAGAUUUAUAAUCACUAUACACUAUCCGGAUUCUUAUAAUCCAUCGGUGGUCCAAAUGGGGCCUAAGUUUCGAUGACGGUUCAUGUGGAUGUGCGGAUUUUCGUGCGUUUCCUGUACUUCGGGCAGUUUCUGGACGAGCGUGCAAGCUGCUACGACGACCGGAGCGGUUCACGUCCUUGCCCGACCUGCAGCAACAGCCAACACGACGUUUGAAAGUCCUAGGGUCCAACGAACUCCUUUUGGUUAGGCUAGGCGGAUGGAGCAACCGAGCAAGAAACUCUUCUCCUGAAGCGGCUGUAAGGUGCAGACAACAACAGCCUGCCGAUGUCACCAUAUUCGGGACAACAAGAUUGCAACUGCAUGGACUCUGCUGAAUCAUGGCCAUUGUUGACCUUGCGAUGUUCAGUUUUGACAUGGAUUUUUAUGCACAUGUGCACAAAGUAUACUCUAUUCUGACAUGCAGACAUAAUACAUGGAUACAUUUAUUUGGACCACUGUCGAUUUUUUUAACUUUCAUUCUGAACUAAUGUUCAUGAUAUAUCAAGGAUUUGGUGCCCACCCAAAAUGAUCUACGAUAGAGUAUAUGGUAUUGUCAACAUACUUAAGGAUAAAUCUGUAUCCUCUUUAUGUUUCUUAUGUACUCCCUCCGGCCUAAAUUACUAUUCGUUUUGGUUUUUCUAGAUAAAUAACUUUUGAUAUGCACCUAGAUGUAUAAUAUGUCUAUAUGCAUAGCAAAAGUUAUGUGUUGAAGGAAAGCAAUACAAACUUCUAAAGCCUUCCCCACAACUCAUGAUCCAUGAUAUUUUUCAUGAAGGCACUGGAUGUUGUUGCUAUGAAGAAAUUAGAAUAGUGUAGAACAUAGAUAUUUGUCUAGUGAAAAUUCUAGAAGGGGACACAUGCCAUCAUCCUAUGAACUCCCUUGGCCUAUAAAUAGAGGGACCCUUCCUUACCAUGCCAUUCAAUCAUGAGCAUGAUAGAUGAGUGGAGUAUAGUAGAAGUAAAGGAUGAAUGUUAGGCUAGCCACUAAAGAGAGGGUGUUGUACACUCUUGUGUAAUAUUGUUGUGUUGUAAUAAUGUUCCGUUUCUUAUGAGUGCUAGACUCUCGGUUGGGCCAUAUAGUUUCUAAGUACUUAGUGCAUAAGUUGUGAUCCAUCGAAGGUUGGCUCUGUCACCCAAGAUCACAAGGGUCUGGACUUCUGUUGGCGCUAGAAAUCGGUCAACCGAGUCCCAACGUCCGACACACGACCCGGGAGAAUCUGCUUAGCUCCUGUUCGGGUGAAUGCCCUGGUGCAGUUCACGCGGCGUGCCAGCCAAUCUGACCUGUUGAUUGGCAAGGAAGAACACGUGUCAGGUUUAGAAAUCUCGAUCGGCUAAGUUUCCGAUCUCGGAAGAGCUUAUCAGCGAAUCGGCCGAUUUGCUAUAAUAAAGAAAUCGGCUAUGAAGCAGCCGAUCACUGUGGUCUUGUAGAUAGGUAAUUACUAGUAUAUUUGACACAGAGGUAUGAUAAUAACACUAGGAACAAAUCUAAUUGGCAAUAGAUAAAAUUAAUAGCAGAAGGUAAAGAAAGCCGACACUACCGAUUCCUAGCUAGAUAACCGGUGAUAAAGACUAGAAAAACAGGUAAAACCUAUGAAUCUAGCAAAUAUCGAUAAAUAGUGAAUAAAUCUAAACGAAACAACAGCGAUACGCCAGAAGUUAAAGCUUAGAUAUUACUCGAUAAACGGAACUUACAGAAUCGGCCGGAGAUCAAGAUGAUGCAGCCCUGCCAACCCGCACGAACUCGUGAAAAGAGGAAAGUAAUGGCGAAGUCGCCUGCUUGAAAAUAAGUACGAGGAAAAAGUAGCUUGUUGUAUUGAUUGGUUGAUCCUUACAGAUUUACAAAGGUAGCUAUUUAUAGCCCCGUACAGAUAUCUUCUUAACCGACUAGAACUCUAUCCCUAAUUCAAACAGAAAACGAAUAUCUACAAGCACGAUUCGUGCUAGGUUAGUUACUCCACGCUUCGUGGGCUGAUUUCCAGCUCAUCCUUCUAUUCCAAGCCCAUACAGGCCCAAUUAACCCAUCCUCCUAAUCGGCCGAUUCCUCAUCGGCAAAAGGCUACCGAUUGGGAUUCUGGUAUAUUCGACCCGAAACGAGACAGAAGUCACCGGCCGAUCUCACACUGUAGCACCACUUGGCCGAUUCCCAACUGUGCUCCUCCGAUCCCCCUCUCUUCUUGGCGCCGAUUCUACUAGUGACGAAAUCUGGCGUCAACAUAUGCCCCCCAGUUUCGGAGUAAAACAUAGUCUUUUACUUCGAAAUUCUUUAUAACCCCCCUUCCGAAACGGCCGCAGUGAAAAUAUCCUUCCGUUUCACGGUCUUCCAGCUGAUCAUUGCAAUUUUUUCGAAACGAGCACCCACGACAGCCACUACUCCCGAAAAACUCGAAGCGCCGGCGCGGUGAAAAUUCCAUUUUUACCCCCCCUUCAGGCAUCCUUUAAAUAGCGUUUCACCCGCACCUCUUCUUCAAGCUCACGUCUCUUUUCCCAGCGCGCGCGCCUUCUUCCUCCUUCAGCAUCUUUCCCUUGCCGCCGAAGCUUCCUAGCUUCACCUCCUGUUACUUUUUCCUCUUCUCUUCCAAUGGUGGCUCCUUCCGGCAGCUCUCCCGCGCGCGAUGUCCCAGAAGUAGCGCACCCGGCGGUGGUGGCGAUAGCCGUUGCUCCAUCCAUAGAAGAAGGAGCUUCAUCGGAGAUCCCAAUGGCGAUCCCCAUCGCGGCCCCAUCGUCCGCAUCUGCACCGGCGACCACGCCGAUCACUCAGAACUUCAUCCCAGAGGUAAAUAUCGAAUCCUUCUUCUAUCGGCAAUAUAUUUACCUUAGAUCUAUUUCUUACUUUUCUACACUCCCCUUUCCUUCUUUAGGAAGUUAGGCAUCGAAUUACCAUUCACCUUACGGGAAAUCCCGGCCUUGUUUGUCUCGGACCCAUGGGAAACCCAGAUCCAAUAGAUCUCAUAAAUUUGGAAACCGACCGGAUACCCUUCAAAUUGUCUGAUAUGAACUUAGAUCACUGGCUGGGUACUUUUAGAUCCUGGCCAAAUGAAACCCCAGGUUGGAGGGAGUGGUACCAACGGGUGGCCGCAUCAAAGAGCGUCUCAUGGGAAGAGCUCAAAAUCGGCCAGUGCAUCAACCUUUCCUUAUCCCAGAUGGAGAAAAAUGAGCCGUUAGUGAUGGCGGCUUCUUAUUUUUGGUCUGAUGCACUUAAUGCCUUCUUAUUUGGGCACGGUCCUAUGACCCCAACACUGGCCGAUGUGGUCCUGUUGACCGGCCUCGACAUAUCCUCCCCGGACACACCCUAUCACCUUUUAACCACAACGUCACAUCGGCUGGACACAAGGGGAAUCGGCGGGUGGAAGGGUUUCAUCAGAAGCAAUAAGAGGACCGGGACUAUUGAAAACAGGGAGCACACAGCUUUCCUGAUGAUGUGGCUAGAAAAGCACUUCUUUUGUGGAAGAGCCGCCGGCCCGACAACCAAUACCCAGGCCUUAGCUGAAGCACUGUCCAGGGGAAACCAUGUCCCUCUUGGGAAACAUCUGCUAGGGGCCGCGUACCACAUGCUUCAUCAAAUCAGCAUAAGACUAUCCAAGGGAGAACCGAUCGGCAAUCAAGGCGGGCCCUGGUGGUUCAUCAACUUGUUUGACUUUGACCUUCUUAUCGUACCACCUGGCUACCAUCUUUUUAUUUUCUUCAAUGCUUAUCAGAGCCCUCAAUCGUUGGCCAGCCAAAUCGUCAAGUUCCCUUUUCAUAAGUGACGAGUAGUCAUCGGCCGUUAACUGGUCCUGGAGCGGAAUACGCCUCGAUCCCGCCCUUGACUCCCAUGGCAGUACCGCAUCGUGACCGUACACCAAUUGGUAGGGAGAUAACUUGGUAGCCCCAUGACAAGCCAUCUGGUACGCCCAUAAGGCCUCUGUCAAACAUAGAUGCCACUUCUUUGGUUGUUCCUCGACUUUUCUUUUGAUCAAUUUGAUUAUCCCUUUAUUGGAGGAUUCCGCCUGACCAUUGGCUUGGGCGUAAUAUGGAGAAGAAUUUAACAAUUUGAUUCCCAUAUCGGUCGUAAAUUCCUCAAAUUCCCCCGAUGUGAACAUUGUUCCUUGAUCGGUUGUUAUAGUCUGAGGAAUACCGAAUCGGUAAACGAUGUGGUCCCUUACGAAGUCAGCCAUGAUAGCCGAUGUCACGGCUCUCAACGGGAUGGCCUCUACCCAUUUGGUAAAGUAAUCAGUAGCCACCAGAAUAAAUUUGUGCCCUUUGCUUGAUGGUGGGUAAAUUUGGCCGAUAAGGUCUAUUCUCCAUCCCCUGAACGGCCAUGGCUUAAUGAUGGGAUUCAUGGCCGAUGCGGGUGCACGCUGGACAUUUCCAAACUUUUGACACUCCUGACAGCCCUUAUAAUAUUUGAAACAGUCUUCGAGGAUCGUUGGCCAGUAGUACCCAUUAUUCCUGAUCAUCCACUUCAUCUUAUGUGCCGAUUGGUGUGCUCCACAUACUCCUUCAUUGAUUUCUCCCAUUAGAGUCUUGGCCUCCUCUGUCCCAAGGCAUUUGAGAAGAACUCCAUCGAUCAUUCGGUAGAAUAGGUCAUCUUCGAGCAGUACGUAUUUGGUGGCAUGAAAACGUACUCGUCGCUCCACCUUUUUAGACGGAUCCUUCAGGUAGUCAGCAAUUUCUUUACGCCAGUCAUCAGCCGUGAGUUCUAGAGCCAUAGCGCCUAGAAUUGGCCGAUACCCAGAUGCAUGCUGGGCGAGUUUGUUGGCGUCUUCGUUGCGGUCUCUUGGGAUGUGCUCGAUUACUGCCGAUCGGAAUUCUUUUAAAAGCUGUAAGCAAUCUUCAUAAUAAAUUCUUAAUACGUCAUCUUUGCAUUCGAACCUUCCGGUCAGUUGAUCCACAAUAAGCAUAGAAUCUCCGAAGACCUCAACGGAAUCGGCCUUGACUUCUCUUAAUAGUUGUAGGCCUUUUAAUACAGCUCGGUACUCCGCUUGAUUGUUAGUAGAGGCGGUUUCUAUCGGCAGAGAAAAAUCAUAGCUUGCCCCCCGAGGCGAUAUGAGAACGAUGCCGAUUCCUGAUCCGACCCCACAUGAUGACCCGUCGAAAUAUAAUGUCCAAGGUGCCGGCUCUACGAGGGCAAUCUCCGGUCCGCAGUGCUGGGCGACGAAAUCGGCCAUGACUUGACCCUUGACGGCUUUUGCCGAUUCAUACCGCAGGUCAAACUCUGAUAAAGCUAAGAUCCAUUUGCCGAUUCGUCCUUUCAAGAUCGGCAGUGAUAGCAUGUAUUUUACUACGUCGUCUUUGCAUACGACCACGCAUUCUGCCGACAGUAGAUAGUGCCUUAGUUUGGUGCAUGAGAAGUAAAGACAUAGGCACAAACGCUCCACCGGAGGAUAUCUUGUUUCAGCAUCCAGAAGUCUUCUACUGACAUAAUAAAUUACCCGCUCCUUGCCUUCAAACUCCUGGACUAGAGCCGACCCAAUAGCUUUUUCAUCGGCUGAUAAGUAUAGUUUAAACGGCUUACCAGUUUGAGGAGGAACCAACACUGGUGGUGAGACCAAAUAUUGCUUGAUAUCUUCCAGUGCUUUGCGCUGCUCCUCUCCCCAUAUAAAUUCCUGGUCAGGUUUUAGCUUCAACAGAGGUGUGAACGCCUAAAUCCGCCCAGAUAGAUUAGAUAUGAAUCUUCUGAUGAAAUUCACCUUGCCGAUUAGAGACUGCAGUUCGGUUUUGCUCUGUGGGGCCACGACUUUGUUGAUGGCCGCUAUGGUCUUCCGAUUGAUCUCUAUGCCUCGUUCGUGUACCAUGAAUCCUAAGAACUGUCCGGCGGAUACGCCGAAAGCACAUUUAUUGGGAUUCAUCUUAAGACCAUGUUUUUUGGUACACUCUAGCACUUUUCGCAAAUCGGCCAGAUGUUCUUCGUGACCUUUGGAUUUGACCACGACAUCAUCGAUGUAGAUUUCUACCAGAAGGCCAAUGAGUUUGUGAAAUAUGUAAUUCAUGGCUCUCUGAUAUGUAGCGCCAGCGUUCUUCAAGCCAAAAGUCAUCACCACCCACUUGAACAAACCAAGGUGGCCUGGACAUCUGAAGGCCGUUUUGGGUAUGUCCUCUUCGGCCAUAAGUAUUUGAUUGUAUCCGGCGUUUCCGUCCAUGAAGCUAAUGAUUUUAUGCCCUGCGGCAGCGUCGAUCAGUACAUCGGCCGUUGGCAUGGGGUAACCAUCCAUCGGUGUGGCCUGAUUAAGAUUCAUGAAAUCAACGCAAACGCGUAGCUUUCCAUUUUUCUUGUAUACUGGUACGAUGUUAGAAAUCCACUCGGCAUAACGACAUUGCCGAAUAAAUUUUGCUUCGAUUAGCCGAGUUAUUUCAGCUUUUAUGUCUGGUAGAAUUUUAGGAUUGCAGCGCCGUGCGGGUUGUUGGUACGGCCGAUACCCUGGUUUUAUGGGUAGCCGAUGUUCAAUAAUGGAUCGGUCUAAACCGGGCAUCUCGUGAUACUCCCAAGCAAAACAAUCCUUAAAUUCCUUUAAUAAAUUUGUCAAUUUACACUUGUACUCUGGAUCUAAAUUUGCACUAAUAUAAGUCGGCCUUGGUUUGGUACCAUCACCUAAAUCUACCAUUUCCAAUGAAUCGGCCGACGUGAACCCGUGUCCUAGCUUCCCAUCUUCUCGGGCGAACUGAUCCAUUUAUUCUGAGUCUUCGGAGCCGACUGCUCGGAUCGGCUGUAGGCCAAAAUCGGUGACCUUCAGGAAAUCGGUCUCCCAUACUCUGCCAGAUAUGCACCUGACGGUUUCGCAGCUCCACUGCUGCGUGUCGGCUGCCGCGAUGCUGUACGCGGAAUCGGCGUUGACCACCUCGAUGUUAUCGCCAACCCAUUGCACGAGGCAUUGAUGCAUUGUUGACGGGAUGCAGCAGUUUGCGUGUAUCCAGUCUCGGCCAAGUAGCAGGUUGUAGGACCCCUUGCCAUUAAUGAUAAAGAAGGUGAUAGGGAGGGUCUUACUGCCGAUGGUGAGGUCGACGCAGAGGGCACCGCGAGCGUUUGACACCUUGCCCUCGAAGUCCUUGAGCAUCAUGUCCGUCUUGGUCAAGUCGUCGUCGCUUUUCCCAAGUUUCCGGAGUACGGCGUACGGCAUGAUGUUGACUGCAGCUCCUCCGUCUACCAUUAAUCUAGUGAGGGGGCGGCCGUCAACAUGCCCCUUAAGGAACAGCGCCUUCAUGUGUUGUCGUUCGUCGUCUUCGGGCUUCUCGAACGUGGCCAUCAUUGGUUCCAAGGCCAACUGUGCUGUCUGUUCUUCUAUUGCCGAUACAUCUUGUUGAUCGGCGGGAGUCAUGAAUUCCAUCGGCAAAAUGAAAACCAUGCCGAUCUCGGCUGCCGAUUCGUCACCGGCCGAGUAGUCGUCCCCUUUAUCAUUUCUUUUGGGGCGCCACACCCGAGGCCUUCCUUCCUUCUUGUCCGUCGUGCUUUCUUCCUCUUGCUGUUCCCAUUGGCGGAGACGUUGGAUUCUCCGUUUUUGAGACUUGGUCAAUCCAUCGGGACACCACCUGGGGUUUAUUGGUCUUCCCCUGACCUAGGGCGUUCCCACUUCGGUUCGCGUCCUAACGGGUUUUCAUCCGUCACCCGAGCAUCGGCCAUCUCUUCGAGCCGGCUGUGAACGCUGGCCUUGUUUUCUGACCGGUCAUGCCGAUCAGUCCUGCCCCCCUGGUUAUCAUGGCAUCUGUCUUCCGACCGAUCAUAUCGGUCAUUUCUGCCCCCCAGCCGAUCACGCACGGGAGGGCGCUGGUCAUCUUGGCUGCGCCAAUUCCUGCUGAUCGGUUCUGGCCUUCCGUCUCUGGAGCGAGACCUGUUGAACGGCCGAUUGCCACGAUAUGGACCGUUGCAUUCUGGGCAAGUAUCAGCCGAAGGUAGCCUGAGGUUGUUUUCCCAACAAUGAAUGAAGAACGGGCAUCUCCAGUGCUCCUCGUGCCGACGCAUUGCUUCUUCCCGGGACCUUGAGCGUUCAUGCUGACGUUGGUACUUCUGGAGCAGGAGCUGGGAAGUAAUGCGUGGCCCUUCUGAUUCGCCAUCGUCGUCCUCCAUCCGCCGCUUCCCCUUGACAUCUUCAGGCGUAGCUUGAUUUCUGGGGUUGAUGGCGCCACUCUUUUUGGCCGAUUCGGACGUCAGCACUUUUGUUUGGAGUGAAUUCUUCCCUGUAUCAACCAUGUUGGUGGGGAAAGGGUGUUGGUCAAUCUUCAUUGGCUUGGCCGAUUUUGUCGGCACUUCAAAUUUAAGUCUGCCUUGCUCAAUGGCCGACUGUAUCUGCUGCCUGAAGAUCUUGCACUCGUUGGUGUCAUGGGAUGUGGCGUUGUGCCACUUGCAAUACUUCAUCUUUUUUAGCUGCUCGGCAGAAGGUAUGGUAUGAUAUGGCGAGAGUUUAAUCUGUCCUUCUUGGAGGAGAAGAUCGAAGAUUUUAUCGGCCUUAGUCGUGUCAAAGCCGAACACCUCCGGCUCCUUUUUGCCGAAUGGGCAUGAUAUCGGCUUCUUCCCUUUGAUCCACUCUGCAAGUCCGACUUCGACAUCUUCCUCAUCCUCUAACUCCUCCAGGAAUGCCACCUUCUUCUGGAAAUUCCUCCGUGGAUCGAAUGAACGUACCUCCUGUCCAGACAGUCGGUGGACAAUCUGGCUCAAACUUUCGAACUCCUGUGAAGCGUAUCUUUCUUUGAUGUGGGGCAGAAGGCCUUGAAAAGCUAUAUCGGCCAACUGCGCGUCGUUUAAAGCCAGGGAGUAGCACUUGUUUCUGAUUUCCCGAAAUCUCUGUAUAUAUGAGGAUAUCGGCUCAUCACUUCUUUGCCUGAGGCUGGUCAAAUCGGACAGCUUCAUCUCAUGCACCCCGGCGUAGAAGUACUUGUGGAACUGUCUUUCUAAAUCGGCCCAUGUGAUAAUCGAGUUUGGCGGCAAUGUUGUGAACCACUGAAAGGCCGAACCAGACAAAGAUGAAGAGAACAACCGUACCCGUAGAGCAUCCUGAGUAGCUGCCUCCCCGCAUUGGAUGAUGAAUCUGUUCACGUGUUCCACGGUUGAAGUGUCAUCCAUCCCCGAAAACUUAGUGAAGUCAGGCACCUUAUACCGAUGGGGAAACGGCAAUAGGUCAUAUGUAGAUGGGUAUGGUGUUCUGUAGGUGUAAGUCUGUACCUUCGUCUUCAAGCUGAAUUGUUCUUGCAUCACUUCCGCAAUACGCGCCGACCAGUCUGGCUGUUGCUGGUGAACUGUUGGCUGAGGCAUUGGCAUAUGCUGGUAAACUGGAGGCGGAAUGAACGGAGGCUGGUUGAAAGCGGGUGGUAUCUGAGUAAAAGCCGGCUGUGUAGUAAAAGUCGGCUAUCUGAAUGAACCAUUCGUUUCAUCAUACAGCAUGAGCUCUGCUGUCUUGUUGACCUCCGGAACGACAGGCUGGUAUGGCGGUACGGUCGGCCGAGUGGCCGCUUGAAAAGAUGCCUUGAAUGGAGGGCUUCCCUGACUGGCCGAUUGAUUCUGACUGGCCGUGGCUGAAGGUGCCCCCCAGGGUGAUGGAUUAACUGGAGGAAACGGCGCAGAAGACAGUUGAAUGGAGUUAUACCCCAUAGGAGCUGAUGAUGAGGAAGCACCUGAUCCCCUGACAGAAAAUUGAAUCGGCUGCGAAGCCGUAUUCGAAUAAGUCUGGUUUGGUGGAAUCGGCUGAAAAUAUGCCGGUCCCCUGUACCCUUGAGGUAUCCCCCCGGUGAAGGAAUUGACGACAGCAUUGUGCACCAUAUUUGAAAGUACCGGGGACUGAUCGAUGAAGGCGUGAUAAAUAGACUAUUGAAUCAUAUCGGACAUUUUGUCCGAAUCCUCAGAAAUUGUGAUCUGGCGGGGAGGAGGGAAUGGAGUCUUCUUGAUAGUCUCCCUGCUUCUGGAGCGACUGAACGAUUUUAGGCAAGCUUUACGGAAUUGUUCCGUAUACUUGUCCAGUUCUUCCUUCUGGUCGUCCUUCAGAUCUGCCUCCGUCACCUCGAUGACGUUAUCUUCGGAGACUUCAGCAGCUUUCGACAUGAUGGCGGUUGUAUCGGUCCCACCGGGCGUGCCAAAAGUGUGUUGGCGCUAGAAAUCGGUCAACCGAGUCCCAACGUCCGACACACGACCCGAGAGAAUCUGCUUAGCUCCUGUUCGGGUGAAUGCCCUGGUGCAGUUCGCGCGGCGUGCCAGCCAAUCUGACCUGUUGAUUGGCAAGGAAGAACACGUGUCAGGUUUAGAAAUCUCGAUCGGCUAAGUUUCCGAUCUCGGAAGAGCUUAUCAGCGAAUCGGCCGAUUUGCUAUAAUAAAGAAAUCGGCUAUGAAGCAGCCUAUCACUGUGAUCUUGUAGAUAGGUAAUUACUAGUAUAUUUGACACAGAGGUAUGAUAACAACACUAGGAACAGAUCUAAUCGGCAAUAGAUAAAAUUAAUAGCAGAAGGUAAAGAAAGCCGACACUACCGAUUCCUAGCUAGAUAACCGGUGAUAAAGACUAGAAAAACAGGUAAAACCUAUGAAUCUAGCAAAUAUCGAUAAAUAGUGAAUAAAUCUAAACGAAACAACAGCGAUACGCCAGAAGUUAAAGCUUAGAUAUUACUCGAUAAACGGAACUUACAGAAUCGGCCGGAGAUCAAGAUGAUGCAGCCCUGCCAACCCGCACGAACUCGUGAAAAGAGGAAAGUAAUGGCGAAGUCGCCUGCUUGAAAAUAAGUACGAGGAAAAAGUAGCUUGUUGUAUUGAUUGGUUGAUCCUUACAGAUUUACAAAGGUAGCUAUUUAUAGCCCCGUACAGAUAUCUUCUUAACCGACUAGAACUCUAUCCCUAAUUCAAACAGAAAACGAAUAUCUACAAGCACGAUUCGUGCUAGGUUAGUUACUCCACGCUUCGUGGGCUGAUUUCCAGCUCAUCCUUCUAUUCCAAGCCCAUACAGGCCCAAUUAACCCAUCCUCCUAAUCGGCCGAUUCCUCAUCGGCAAAAGGCUACCGAUUGGGAUUCUGGUAUAUUCGACCCGAAACGAGACAGAAGUCACCGGCCGAUCUCACACUGUAGCACCACUUGGCCGAUUCCCAACUGUGCUCCUCCGAUCCCCCUCUCUUCUUGGCGCCGAUUCUACUAGUGACGAAAUCUGGCAUCAACAACUUCAUUGUAGGUUGCCUUUGCUACUCGGAAGUUAGUUUCAUCUGUUGGUAGGCUCUGCCACCCGGAAGUGAGAACGCGGCUCUGCUAUCGAAAGGACCCAUCGCACUAAGUAACUAGAAAUUAAAAGGGCUAACCGACUCCAGAGUGAGUUGGUGUCCUAGGUGUAGGUCCUCAGAUUAGUGGGUAUUAGGGCCACCUCAAUUUCCAACAUUAUGUACCUGAAAAAAAACCAAAAUGAAUAGUAAUUUGGGACGGAGGGAGUAACCACUAAUGACAAAAAUCUGAUAUAUAUCAAACUCUGCACAAGUUAUGCCGGAUACAAUAAGAUGAAAAAACAGAUUCAACCAUCCUUUUAGCAAUUGGGUGUAGUGGUAGUGGUAGGCUGACCAUCUUGUUCAUGUCAGGAAAAAUGAACUUGUGUGAAUGAGAAAGCAGGCGGUAAUUAAGAGGCACCUAUGCAUGUGUUUAAGAGUGUUUUGGCAUUUUAUGAGGUUGCUAAGGAUUUAAGCGUUAUACACGGUGUUUAGGUUCUCCUAGCCUUGUGAAGUAGGACCCACUGUUGAAUAAAUAAGGUUCUAAGCGGAUCAACCCCGUGGAGUUAUCUUCUUCCAUCCUUUCUCCCUGAUGUUUCUUUCCCCUUCAGCACCAUGCCCCGGCCGCUAAAUCUACUGUUGGCCAUGAAUGUUGCCGCUAAAUUUGUAAGAAUAUAAUGAGGUUUGCUGGUGAUAAUUGUAGCAAAACAUGAGGAUGUCAAAGCUUAGGAGUUAGAAAAGUCUACUCCUGCAAAAACUUUUUAUGCCUUUACUCAAGCUGCAUCUUAUCAAGAACUAGGGGACUACGCGUUGUCAACCUGGGAGGUUUAUAGCUAGAGGAAAAAUAUACCCAGGUUCUACUGAAUCACACAUUCAAAACAAAAUUCAUUGGGCUGGGCGCUGCGCAUGCGUGACCUAGAUGCAAAAAAUUGAGUCUGCACAGACCAUGAUCUUAUUUUGUCAUCAUGGCACCUCCCAAUUCAUUGUCCAUGUUCUCUGUAGUAGUACUCAACAUCGUUGAAAUUGUAGCGACACCAAAUAUUUUAUUAAUAGAUGGCUCAGGGAUAAUCUCUAGCUGAACUGUUGCCUCACGCUAAGCCUUGGUGCAUAGGCGCAUCGCCAAGCAUCGAACAGUCCAGCAGGUGUGCUCUAAUUGGUGUUGGAUUGGAGACAUCAAGGGUGCUUCUUUUAUCAUGGCGCUGGCGAAGUAUCUGUACAUCUAUGGCGGCUAAGACGAGACCCUAUGAGGAGGAUGUCCACAUAGAUAAUUCAUCGGCAUCCAUGGCAUUCGAUAUUAAAUCCGUCUGUCGGGCAUUCUUUCAUGGGAUCGAGAGCAUUGGUUUUGAAUCAUGUAAAUCUUAGGAAGCACAACGGGCCAAGUUCUUUGUUUAGUUCGCUUGUCACAGUGAGUGCUGGACAGUGGACUGGCUAGCUUGCUGAGGCCUGCCCCAUCCUCCUUGCUGUCAAGUGUGUCCUCACUAGGCAGGUGCUGUUAGCGCCUGGGUUGUGGAGAGCACCAAAAAACAUUUUAUUUGGUUAGCGAAGGAGGGGUGGUGAGAGGCUGAGAGCGGACUCAACAAUGGAGGCAUUGCCGGAGUAUAUCUAGAGGGUUGUAUUUUUGCUGCCGGUUCUCUCUCCGCUACGGUGCGGUAUAUGCCAUCCAAUAAACUUUGCGAAAUUGCCACCUAAUAUAAACCCUAGCAAUUCAAGUGUUUUCUGUACUGAUAAAAAAAAUUUAGAAAAAGGAAUUGUCUCCUACCUCUACAACCACACACAGUCAUGUUUUUACAAAAUUGUUUCUGCACUAACAAGUGGAGCCAGUGAAAUCUACAGCACCACAAGCAAUUACGUGCCCAUUGCCCUCUGGACUCUAGUACAUGUCAGUGCAAUAUGUUUAGCUUUAUGAUUUUAGUUUUUCCCUCGAAAACGUGGCUGAGCUUUGUUAUUCUAGUAUAGACCCUUGUCAUCAAGGAUGAUCGUCAAUGUCGUCACUCUCACCAAAGUCCAUCCCAACACUAAAACAAGUUGGCGAAAAAUACUAUGCAAAUUGCCUAGAAACCUAAAUCCCAUCCAGGAAACAAAAACAAAUCAAAUAACGUUAAAUAAAGAACUAAAAGGAAAACGAAAAGAAGUAGAUAAAAUGUUUUUUAAAAAAAAUUAUACGGGCUCGCUCAGGCCCAUGCGUGACACGAGUCGAACCGUGUGGUCAUUCUCAUAAACACCAGGUCCUCCUGCUUUUGUCUACCGAAUUUAUUCUAAUAGAGCAAUAGAAAGCAAGUGAAACUGCGUGUGCCAUGCUUUAUAUGUGCACGUGUAAAGCAUUUCGGUGUGAUUUCCUUUUUUUGUACGUGUGGUUUUCUAUGUGUACCGAAUUUAUUUUGUGUGGUUUUUCUAACCUCCUUUUCCAUGGCGGGCUGAUUUUUCUUUUCAGAAAUGUGCGGCCACCAUUUUAUAUGGUACAACGUGUACAGCACUGUGGAGCUGAAAAUAAAAGGUCAUCUUGGAACCCUGCAAUGUGCAAAAGUCAGAGGUGCCACCUCUGUCGACACACCCAAACUUGUUUCUCCCAGAUGGCCAUAUAUCGAUACUUUUUCUUCUUAUUUUAUCCUUUUUUCCUUCCUGUGAGGAAAUGUACACUACGAGUACAUCUAUAAUUGGACAUCCAAUAUACGGAUAUUUUUUCCUUGCAAAAAAUUGGAUAUCUUGACCUUAAGAAACAAAAAAUACACACGUGACAUACGUACUGCCAUUACUGUUUUGUAUAUUUAUGUAGACGCAUGUGACACACCACAUUUAAAAUAUGUACGAUUGUACAGUCACCGGCUCCACAUAAUUUUUUUAUAGAAAUUUUAGAACAAAACAUGUUGGUUAAAACAUAUAUUCUUUGAAAUAUAGUCUCUUAGGUAUCAUGCCUUUUUGUGGAGAGGGAAGUUGUUCAUUUCAAAUUGUUCAAAUUUACAUCUACAAUGUGGAGGUUGAAGAGUAAACAUGGCCCUCCGCCUCAAGAGAAAUAAACAUGUUCAGACUAAACCUAUAUCUUCCUUUGGGAGGCCUGCACAAUAACCAGUUAGUACGUCAUUGUAAUAUGGGCUGCAAGGCUAAUCCCAGUAGGAGUUUCAUAGAGGUUUCAUGCACAUUAAAUAUGGUGACACAUCAGCAUAUGUGAUGAUAUGGCAUGGUAGUUAUAAAGUGAGAGAGGGAAGGGGUUUCAUGAAGAUGAAACUGUGUAUACACUGUUUCCAAGACUAUGAAACCUAUUGAAACUUACAUUGGGAGCUAUAGAGUUUCAUUUCAUCUAACCAUAUCCAAUCACAUGCCUCACAAUUAAAUGUCAUGGGCAUCCUAUGAAAUCGUGAAAUGAAACUGUGCACUAGGACUCCCUGUUUCAUUCAUGAGAAUACACCUCAUGGGAUGACGUGGCAUCUUUGGAAACAGUGCAAUGAAACCUUGCACUACGACUAGUCUAAGGGCUCUUGGCUACAUAGCCAAUGCACUCAUUACUUCAUUAGCGUGUGACUUGAAGUUGUGGAUCAUACAAGGCACGUUAGCAUUUAAAUUUUACUCUUACUUGGAUCAGACAGUGUCAAACAAAGAACCUUAUCAGUAGGACAAAAUAGGUUGAUUCAUGUGAGACUAAUCAAGCAAGAGUAUGAGCAUUGUAUUUUUUAGGGACCAUAUAUAAGUUUAGAGUCUCGGGAAGUCAAAACCUGGACCAGAGGUUCGGGAUUCUCCAGGGAAAGCAAUUCAAAUUAGUAGUUUGUUUAGUUUUAUAAAAUUUUGAGAUCUGUUUUUAAUUUGCACAUCCUUUAUUAACAAAAACUAGAGCAUUAGAGGUUGAGCCGGCCACUAUGUAAGACGUCCUCAAAGGAGACGCGAGUUAACUCACACAGGAGACGUGAAUUUUCGCGUCUCCAAAUUUUCGUCUCUGAUGUAAAGUCAUACAAGAUGCGAAAAAUCCGCGUCUCCAAUGUAGAGGGUCAUUGGAGACGCGUUUUGACGGGACAAACAUAUUGGAGAUGCGUUUAGUUUAUCCGCUUCUCCGAUUCAAGAUUGGAGACGUGUUUUAAUUCCGCGUCUCUAAUAAGGAUGUCUUCUUUGUGAUAUUGUUACAUAGUGGGCAUUGGGGGUAUCAAGAAGUCAAAACUAGACCAUGUGUAUUGAUAGUUGUGAUCGAUUCUGGCUGACUUUUGAAAUCCUAGCCUACCAAACUUUGCUAAUCAUGCUUUAAAUGGUUGCUUGUUUGUCAACUUGGUUGCCCAUGUGAAUGGGUAACGAAAAAGGGAGUGCUAUGAGUUUUGCACCUGCUUACCUUUAAUUGGUCUAUAAAUUGUCACCGAGAGAGACCAUGCAUGGGUGCACCAGACCACUAGGCACUGGCACUCACAUACAUUCUCCAGCUGCAUACUUCACACUGUACUCAGCGCGUGCCAUGGCAACCUGCAGGAGCCUUCUCAUGGUCCCGGUCACUCUCUGCUUCUUCCUCCUCGUGCUCCCAGCGCAGAGCAAGGAGAACCUUGCCGUCGUCAUCUUCUACGGCACAGCCCGAUGCAAGAGCAACCCCUCCAAGAUCAUCAGCAGUAAGCGAUCUUAUAUUAACUGAUAUACUCGAUCAACAAACUUCAGCUAUCAUACGCUAUAGUAUAUCAUAUGUAUAAUCCACUCCUGCAUGCAGAUGCAACCCUGCAUGUGACCAUCAAUGGCACCACCCUCGCCACCGGCAAAACGACGAGCAUGGGCCGGUUCUUGAUGGCGGCGAGGGUGACCUCAAAAGAUCAGCUCAGCUCCCUGGUGAGCAAAAAGGCGGUCAUCACCGCUCCUCGACAGGCGUGCGGCAUGCCUGCAGCGUCCGUCGCUGCGAGGAAGCUGGCUGCACAGGCGGACCUGAAUGGCCACAGGAUUCUCGCCGACAAUUCUGGCGACUUGGUUGAUGAUGAUGAUAUCCGGGAGAUAAUUGAUCUGCUCGUUGACGACCUCAACAACUUCCUGGGCAUACCCAAUUGAGAGGAAUAUUUAAGGCAUUGUUUGGAUAAAUCCAUCUUAAUACACAUAGAUUGAGAUGGCGAAUAAACA